ACGGCCAUAUCACGCUGAAAUAGUAGUCCUCGUCCGAUCACUGAAGUUAAGCAAUGCCGAGCCUAGUAAGUACCUAGUGGGUGAGUGCAUGGGAAGACCAGUUGUUGUAA